AAAAAAAUUUUAAUCGAACAGAUUAAAUAAAAAUUAUUCCUAAUAAUUUCAUUUUUUUAAUUCAACAUCGAGGUAAAAAACUACUAUUUUAAUUAUCCUG
rnacentral:rRNA from 1 species